GGCCGUGUGGCGAAAUGGCAUCGCGUCUGACUACGAUUACUGAACUGUGGUACUGUCUUGAUGGUACUGUUCUAUAAUAGUGAUCAGGAGAUCGCAGGUUCGACCCCUGUCUCGGUCA